rnacentral:misc_RNA from 1 species
GAUGAAGAACGUAGUAAAAUGCGAUAAGUAAUGUGAAUUGCAGAAUUCAGUGAAUCAUCGAAUCUUUGAACGCACAUUGCGCCUGCCAGUAUUCUGGCGGGCAUGCCUGUUCGAGCGUCAUUUCAACCCUCAAGCACAGCUUGGUGUUGGGACUCGCGUUAAUUCGCGUUCCUCAAAUUGAUUGGCGGUCACGUCGAGCUUCCAUAGCGUAGUAGUAAAACCCUCGUUACUGGUAAUCGUCGCGGCCACGCCGUUAAACCCCAACUUCUGAAUGUUGACCUCGGAUCAGGUAGGAAUACCCGCUGAACUUAAGCAUAUCAAUAAGCGGAGGA